AACAUAAACAUUUGCAGGGCGGGUCGUGUGUCAGUGUAUUUAUAUCUUAGCUAUAUUGCACACUUCCCGGCCUUUAAAUGUCCAAUGUU
ensembl:ncRNA mir-310 mir-310 stem loop